AGAAAUUAACGGGUUUGAGUUUGGUGUGCUACUAGGUUGUAGGUGUUAAAUUGGUUGGUUGCAUAUAUCUUUUGAAAUCAUUUGAAUCAAGUAAAUUAGUAAUCAAAAUAUACAGACACCAAAACUGGAAGGGAGGCCCAAUUUGGUAGAUACAUAAUAAACUUCGUAAAAGAAACUAGCAGUACUAAAACUGCUAUGGGCUAGAGCCUAGAAUUGUUAACAUUUUCCUGUUCCACUUUUUAAAUGUAAUCUCAAGCUUUAAAACGCUAAUUCUUCCCAUUAAUUAUCACUAUAUGCAAAAUUAAAGAAAUAAAUUAAAAAGAAAAAUAAAGAA
rnacentral:misc_RNA from 1 species